rnacentral:rRNA from 1 species
AUUGAACGCUGGCGGCAGGCCUAACACAUGCAAGUCGAACGAGUGGCGGACGGGUGAGUAAUGUCUGGGAAACUGCCUGAUGGAGGGGGAUAACUACUGGAAACGGUAGCUAAUACCGCAUACCAUAAGAUGUGCCCAGAUGGGAUUAGCUGGUUGGUGGGGUAACGGCUCACCAAGGUGACGAUCCCUAGCUGGUCUGAGAGGAGGACCAGCAACACUGGAAUUGAGACACGGUCCAGACUCUUACGGGAGGCAGCAGUGGGGAAUAUUGCACAAUGGGCGAAAGCCUGAUGCAGCCAGGCCGCGUGUAUGAAGAGGGCCUUCGGGUUGUAAAGUACUUUAAGCGGGGAGGCGUUACCCGCAGAAGAAGCACCGGCUAACUACGUGCCAGCAGCCGCGGUAAUAC